CCAGUGCCAUGAGUUUACAAAUGCCAUGGCAAUGUCAGGAAGUUACCCUAUAUGGUCUAAAAAGGGGAGGAAUCCUCAUUUCUGGGAAGUGCUCACCCCUUUCCCAGAAAACUCAUGAAACAUCCACCCCUUGUCUAGCACAUAAUUAAAAAUAACUAUAAAAAUAGUCAACCAGUAGCCGUUUGGGCUGCUCUUCCUAUGGAGUAGCUCUCUUUUAUUCCUUUACUUUCCUAAUAAACUUGCUUUCACUUUACUCUAUGGACUUGCCCUGAAUUCAAUCUUGUGUGAGGCCCAGGAACCCCCUCUUGGAGUCUGGAUCGGGAGCUCUUUCAGUGAUGAAAAUAAACAAACAACAAAAUCACCUAGUGCUGCUCAAGUUGAUGGUCAUUACUUUAUUUCGACUAUGUCAUCAGUACCUGGACAUGAGGACACUUGAAACACUUUCAAUAUAAGCUCUAGAGCUUCUAAUGGUGUCAACUUGACUGAAUUAAGAAAUAUCUAGCAACCUGGUAAAGCAUUAUUUUUGCUUGUGUCUGUGAAGAUGUUUCCAGAAGAGACUAAUAUGUGAGUCUGAGUGGAGAAGAUGAGAAGAUCUUUCCUCAGUGAGAGUGGGCAUCCAAAAAGGCAAGACCAGAAAGAACAAGAACAGAGGAAAGGUGAAUGUGUGCACCCAUCUGCUGAAGUUGGAAUACAUUCUUCUCCUAUCCCUGGACAACAACUCCAGGCUCCCCUAUCUUUGGAGUCCAGAACUUAUACAAGUGGUCCCUGAGUUCUCAAGCCUUUGGUCUUGAACUAAGAGUGACAUCAUUCAUUGGCUUCCCUCAUUCUGAGGCCUUUGGACUUGGACUGAGCAAUGCUACCAGAAUUCCAGGGUCUCCAGCUUGCAGAUGGCCUGUUACAGGAUUUCUCAGCCUCCGUAAUCAUGUCAGCCAACCUCUCUAACAAGUGUCCUCUCAUAUACCUGUAUCUGUAUCUACAAAUUCUGUCUCUCUGGAGAACCCUGAUUAACAAAACAUGGUCAUAUAAAUGAA